UACAGAGGUGCCAAGCGUUGUUCGGAUUUAUUGGGCGUAAAGAGCGUGUAGGCGGCUAGGUAGGUCCGUUGUGAAAACUCGAGGCUCAACCUCGAGACGUCGAUGGAAACCAUCUGGCUAGAGUCCGGAAGAGGAGAGUGGAAUUCCUGGUGUAGCGGUGAAAUGCGCAGAUAUCAGGAAGAACACCCGUGGCGAAGGCGGCUCUCUGGUACGUGACUGACGCUGAGACGCGAAAGCGUGGGGAGCGAACAGG
rnacentral:rRNA from 1 species